UCUUUUCCUUUUUUUCCUGCCGCCGCGGUAAUACGGAGGAUGCGAGCGUUAUCCGGAUUUAUUGGGUUUAAAGGGAGCGCAGACGGGUCGUUAAGUCAGCUGUGAAAGUUUGGGGCUCAACCUUAAAAUUGCAGUUGAUACUGGCGUCCUUGAGUGCGGUUGAGGUGUGCGGAAUUCGUGGUGUAGCGGUGAAAUGCUUAGAUAUCACGAAGAACUCCGAUUGCGAAGGCAGCACACUAAUCCGUAACUGACGUUCAUGCUCGAAAGUGUGGGUAUCAAACAGG
rnacentral:rRNA from 1 species